UACGUAGGGUGCAAGCGUUGUCCGGAAUUAUUGGGCGUAAAGAGCUCGUAGGCGGUCUGUCGCGUCGGCUGUGAAAACCUGGGGCUUAACUCCGGGCUUGCAGCCGAUACGGGCAGACUAGAGUUCGGCAGGGGGAGACUGGAAUUCCUGGUGUAGCGGUGGAAAAUGCGCAGAUAAUCAGGAGGAACACCGGUGGCGAAGGCGGGUCUCUGGGCCGAAACUGACGCUGAGGAGCGAAAGCGUGGGGGAGCAAACAGG
rnacentral:rRNA from 1 species